AUUUUUCUAGUAUAAAUAGUACAUUUAACUUCCAAUUAAAAAGUUUGACUAUUAGUCAAGAAAAGUA
rnacentral:tRNA from 2 species